GGUGCCCGGAUAGCUCAGUUGUUAGAGUGGGCGCCCAUUUAUAGAGGUUUGAAUCUCGACGCAGUGGGACCUGGUUCAACUCUGACCUGCGGCCCUUUGCUGGAUGUCAUUCCCCCCUCUCUGUCCCCAUUCAUU